rnacentral:rRNA from 1 species
UACGGAGGGGGCUAGCGUUGUUCGGAAUUACUGGGCGUAAAGCGCACGUAGGCGGCUUUGUAAGUUAGAGGUGAAAGCCCAGGGCUUAACCCUGGAAUUGCCUUUAAGACUGCAUCGCUCGAAUUGUGGAGAGGUGAGUGGAAUUCCGAGUGUAGAGGUGAAAUUCGUAGAUAUUCGGAAGAACACCAGUGGCGAAGGCGACUCACUGGACACAUAUUGACGCUGAGGUGCGAAAGCGUGGGGAUCAAACAGG